rnacentral:rRNA from 1 species
AUUGAACGCUGGCGGCAGGCCUAACACAUGCAAGUCGAACGGUAGCACAGAGAGCUUGCUCUCGGGUGACGAGUGGCGGACGGGUGAGUAAUGUCUGGGAAACUGCCCGAUGGAGGGGGAUAACUACUGGAAACGGUAGCUAAUACCGCAUAACGUCACAAGACCAAAGUGGGGGACCUUCGGGCCUCACACCAUCGGAUGUGCCCAGAUGGGAUUAGCUAGUAGGUGGAGUAAUGGCUCACCUAGGCGACGAUCCCUAGCUGGUCUGAGAGGAUGACCAGCCACACUGGAACUGAGACACGGUCCAGACUCCUACGGGAGGCAGCAGUGGGGAAUAUUGCACAAUGGGCGCAAGCCUGAUGCAGCCAUGCCGCGUGUAUGAAGAAGGCCUUCGGGUUGUAAAGUACUUUCAGCGGGGAGGAAGGCGGUGAAGUUAAUAACUUCACCGAUUGACGUUACCCGCAGAAGAAGCACCGGCUAACUCCGUGCCAGCCGCCGCGGUAA